rnacentral:misc_RNA from 1 species
GUAGGAGCUGCCGAAGGCUGCGAUCUUUUGAAUUUCCUUUUCAGGAUCAGGAUCAAAAGAUCGCAGCCUUCGGCAGCUCCUAC